GGUUUUAUAGUAUAAAAAAUUACAUUAGAUUGCAAAUCUAAAAAUGUGUUGUUCACUUAAACUU
rnacentral:tRNA from 1 species